rnacentral:lncRNA from 1 species
AGAACUGCGAAGCUGGCUUCGGUUCGCGAUCCUCCUCUCUGGCUCCGGGCUGCGCGCAGAGUCUGGGUGGCGAGCGAAUGGUGCCUGCGAUCUUCUGCCUCGGGGAGCCGGCUGUCUUCCUUGUGCUAAAAAAACGGAGGAAGUCUGUCUGCCACAGGGCAGAGGGUGGUAUCCAAAGGGUCUCCUCUCCUUGAGUGACUGGUUCCUCCAUUGGAUCUCAGCUCGUAGCUCCUGACCUCAAGCAAGUGCUACUGAAGUGGAAAUGUCUUAUAUCCUGUUUUGUGAUUCCCUGCCUCAGAGCUGAGUCACCCCUGCCUGAAGAAAGGAUCCUUCAUCCCAAGGCUCACUCACUUCCUAUCCAAGCCAUCUCAAGCUAAAGGCAAAUGAACCAAGGAACCCCUCCUGCGCCUGGACCUGAAGAUGAAGGGCUAUAAUCCCAGCUUCUCAGGAGGACAAGGCGGGAGGAGUUCCAGGUCACUCUGGGAAAUCUAGAGACUCUCAAAAAAAAAAAAAAAAUCAAAAGGAUUGGAAACUUCAAGGAGUCAUAGUACAAUGGAUAACCUUCUCAGUGCACAUGGGUCCCGUGCCCUAGCACCCAAUAGGUAGAUCUCCUGCUUGUCCGUUCCCUAGCAUCCAAUACUGGCAAGAGAGGCAAAGGCCCCCACCUCCUCUGCCUCUCUCCUUACUCCCUUUCCCGACUCAGAGUCCUAGGUUGGUUAAGAACCCCCUAGCCCCACAGGCAGCUGUCCUUUGCACUUAGCCAAGCAAGGUGGGGUGGGCAUGACCCCCAUUCUGACUUGUACUUCCUCUCUCUGUUGCCAGGCUUCUAGUUGGCAUUGCUCGCCUGCCACUUCCUCCAUUCCAACCGUCUCUCUUCACUCUGAAACCCAAAGCCUGCUCAAGACCCAGUUGGUUCAGAGCUCAGGUUCAUGUGUCUUAGGAGAGGGUUCUAUUAGUCUGGAAAAUGAGUGCAGCCAGAAGACAAGAAACUGGCUGGGGGGGGGAUUGGGGGAAGGGAAGAUGACCGAGGAGCCCCCCCCCCUUCUCUCUACCCCAUCCCAUGAUUUCCUUUGUCUCCUGUCCCAAUCCCAACCCAUCUCCCCACCCCCAGCCUAUGAGCCUGGAGGCUUCCCAAUAAAACAGUAUUGUAACCUUAUC